GACGAACGCUGGCGGCGUGCUUAACACAUGCAAGUCGAGCGGUAAGGCCCUUUCGGGGGUACACGAGCGGCGAACGGGUGAGUAACACGUGGGUGACCUGCCCCCAGCUCUGGGAUAAGCCUGGGAAACUGGGUCUAAUACUGGAUAUGACUCCACGGUGCAUGUCGUGGGGUGGAAAGCCUUGUGCGGCUGAGGAUGGGCCCGCGGCCUAUCAGCUUGUUGGUGGGGNGAUGGCCUACCAAGGCGACGACGGGUAGCCGGCCUGAGAGGGCGACCGGCCACACUGGGACUGAGACACGGCCCAGACUCCUACGGGAGGCAGCAGUGGGGAAUCUUGCGCAAUGGGCGAAAGCCUGACGCAGCGACGCCGCGUGAGGGAUGACGG
rnacentral:rRNA from 1 species